rnacentral:rRNA from 1 species
AGAGUGAACGCUGGCGGUAGGCCUAACACAUGCAAGUCGAACGGCAGCACAGUGGUAGCAAUACCAUGGGUGGCGAGUGGCGGACGGGUGAGGAAUACAUCGGAAUCUACCUUUUCGUGGGGGAUAACGUAGGGAAACUUACGCUAAUACCGCAUACGCCCUUCGGGGGAAA